UACGGAGGAUGCGAGCGUUAUCCGGAUUUAUUGGGUUUAAAGGGUGCGCAGGCGGGGGAUUAAGUCGGCGGUGAAGUUUUGCAGCUCAACUGUAAAAGUGCCUUCGAAACUGGUUUCCUUGAGUGUAGAUGAAGUAGGCGGAAUUUGUGGUGUAGCGGUGAAAUGCAUAGAUAUCACGAGGAACUCCGAUUGCGCAGGCAGCUUACUAAACUACUACUGACGCUCAGGCACGAAGGCGUGGGGAUCAAACAGGAUUAGAUACCCUGGUA
rnacentral:rRNA from 1 species